rnacentral:rRNA from 1 species
ACGGGAGGCAGCAGUGGGGAAUAUUGGACAAUGGGCGAAAGCCUGAUCCAGCGACGCCGCGUGAACGAUGAAGUAUUUCGGUAUGUAAAGUUCUAUCAGCAGGGAAGAUAAUGACGGUACCUGACUAAGAAGCACCGGCUAAAUACGUGCCAGCAGCCGCGGUAGUACGUAUGGUGCAAGCGUUAUCCGGAUUUACUGGGUGUAAAGGGAGCGUAGGCGGCUUUGCAAGUCUGAUGUGAAAGCCCGGGGCUCAACUCCGGUAUUGCAUUGGAAACUGUAGAGCUAGAGUGUCGGAGGGGUAAGUGGAAUUCCUAGUGUAGCGGUGAAAUGCGUAGAUAUUAGGAGGAACACCAGUGGCGAAGGCGGCUUACUGGACGAUUACUGACGCUGAGGCUCGAAAGCGUGGGGAGCAAACAGGAUUAGAUACCCUGGUA